rnacentral:rRNA from 1 species
GACGAACGCUGGCGGCGUGCUUAACACAUGCAAGUCGAACGGAAAGGCCCUGCUUUUGUGGGGUGCUCGAGUGGCGAACGGGUGAGUAACACGUGAGUAACCUGCCCUUGACUUUGGGAUAACGUCAGGAAACUGGGGCUAAUACCGGAUAGGAGCUCCUGCUGCAUGGUGGGGGUUGGAAAGUUUCGGCGGGUGGGGAUGGACUCGCGGCUUAUCAGCUUGUUGGUGGGGUAGUGGCUUACCAAGGCGUUGGCGGGUAGCCGGCCUGAGAGGGUGACCGGCCACAGUGGGCCUGAGAUACGGCCCAGAGUGCUACGUGAGGCAGCAGUGAGGAAUAUUGCACGAUGGGCGGAAGCCUGAUGCAGCAACGCCGCGUGCGGGAUGACGGCCUUCGGGUUGUAAACCGCUUUCGCCUGUGACGAAGCGUGAGUGACGGUAAUGGGUAAAGAAGCACCGGCUAACUACGUG